CCUAUGACUGCAACGAAGAACGUGGAAACGGCUGUGUUCAUAAGCAGAGGAGGAGAAGAGGCUUCGAUGGACGACGAAUCAGAUCUACUCCAUAUGGCUCAUCUGCCGCUGCGUCUCCGGCUUCGCCGCUGCGUCUCCAAACUAUCCCUCUCAGAUGAAUCUCCAAGGCGUCGCGAAAAGUUAACCGAAGGCUUCAAUCUUAAACCCGUUUCCUUCAUGGCUUAGUUCCAUAGCUCACGACCUGAUUGUAAUUUAUAUGCUUUUUGGGUUAGGUUCUAUCUCUGUGAGUUUUGUUUCUAACUCACAUUUAGAUUAGUGAAAUUGAUGUUUAAAUGAAAAUUUUGUUUUGUUCUUAGUGCAACAAGAGAACCUGGAACCCUUGCUUUUAUUUCAUUUUGAAUGGUGCUUGAUUUGUGAUUUGACGAGUGAUUUGAUAAAAGGAUGAAUGCUUUACUCACUUUGUGAUUCCAUGGUCAUAGGUUUCUGCAAACGAAGAAGUAUUGUGUACUGCUUGAUAUCAAGGAGAAAACUUUGAAGAAGCUAUCUAAGCAGCAGCUUUAAGGUUUGCGUGUGUGGACCGUGGUCAGACAGAGAAUAGCUGUUGUGUGAAGUGUCCAUUCUGUGAGAGGUUUGCGUGUGUGGACCGUAAUGUUCCUUGGCGUGAAUCUAUGAGCAGUGAAGAGUUUCAGAUUCUUCAGGUUCAUUAAAUAUAUAUUGCAUCGCUUGGCUAGGUAUAAGAGGUGGAGACGAUGUCAGCUAUGUCGUGUAAUGAUUUUAAUUGCUCAAGGCUGCAACCACAUGACUUGCCGGUAAGACAUACACCCAUAGAACGUUUCAUAUCUAUAUAUUGUUUGGCUUUGUGGUUUCUUAUAUCAAUGUUGAGAUAUCUCUUUGUGUUCUUUGUAUGUGUGGGCAUGAGUUUUGCUACUGUUGUGGACCAGAGUAGAGUGAAAGACAACAGAGUUACACUUGUGCUUUGUGGUGGAUUGUUGCAGGAAGUUUACAGAGGAAAGCAACUCCAUCAUCUUGUCUACAAGAGGAAGGCUAAACAAGUUGAAGACUUUAGCAAUUGUGAGCAAAUGAUAUAGUGAGUGUAGGUCCUGUGGCUGAGGCAUGGUGAUGGCGUGGUAUGUGUUAAAGCUUCGGCCUUUCAUUUUUGGUUCAUCGUUUUUAGGAGACUCGAGGGCAACGAGCUUGAUGGUAUGAGUUUCUCUGAUAGGGUUGUUGGUGCGUGUGUGUUUUGUACGCUGAAUUUGAAUAAUGAUAUCUUUUUUUUUGUUUUU